AUGCUUCGGGGAGUGAGGCAUGUGCCGGGACUAAGGAGGAAUCUAAUUUCGCUUGGAGUUCUUCAUCAUAGUGGUAUGGUAUUUCAUUAUGAUCGGGAUAGGAAGACCAUGAGAAUCAUGGAAGAUGAGGUGACCAUAAUGAUUGGAGGGAGGACGGCUUCACAUCUUUACAAGUUGCAAGAGAGCACUAAUGUAGGUGGAGUCACGAAGACAGGAGUUGCAGGAGUAGCAGCGAGGUCUCACGGAGGCGGCGGGUAUGGGGCAGACUCGUCGUGUAGCUCUCGAUAA
rnacentral:rRNA from 1 species